rnacentral:rRNA from 1 species
UGGGGAAUAUUGCACAAUGGGCGCAAGCCUGAUGCAGCCAUGCCGCGUGUGUGAAGAAGGCCUUCGGGUUGUAAAGCACUUUCAGCGGGGAGGAAGGCGAUAAGGUUAAUAACCUUGUCGACUGACGUUACCCGCAGAAGAAGCACCGGCUAACUCCGUGCCAGCAGCCGCGGUAAUACGGAGGGUGCAAGCGUUAAUCGGAAUUACUGGGCGUAAAGCGCACGCAGGCGGUCUGUCAAGUCGGAUGUGAAAUCCCCGGGCUCAACCUGGGAACUGCAUUCGAAACUGGCAGUCUAGAGUCUUGUAGAGGGGGGUAGCAUUCCAGGUGUAGCGGUGAAAUGCGUAGGGAUAUGGAGGAAUACCGGUGGCGAGGGCGGCCCGCUGGACAAAGACUGACGCUCAGGUGCGAAAGCGUGGGGAGCAAACAGG